GAUGAACGCUGGCGGCGUGCCUAAUACAUGCAAGUCGAGCGAACAGAUAAGGAGCUUGCUCCUUUGACGUUAGCGGCGGACGGGUGAGUAACACGUGGGUAACCUACCUAUAAGACUGGAAUAACUCCGGGAAACCGGGGCUAAUGCCGGAUAACAUGUUGAACCGCAUGGUUCUGCAGUGAAAGGCGGCUUUGCUGUCACUUAUAGAUGGACCCGCGCCGUAUUAGCUAGUUGGUGAGGUAACGGCUCACCAAGGCAACGAUACGUAGCCGACCUGAGAGGGUGAUCGGCCACACUGGAACUGAGACACGGUCCAGACUCCUACGGGAGGCAGCAGUAGGGAAUCUUCCGCAAUGGGCGAAAGCCUGACGGAGCAACGCCGCGUGAGUGAUGAAGGUCUUCGGAUCGUAAAACUCUGUUAUUAGGGAAGAACAAAUGCGUAAGUAACUGUGCGCGUCUUGACGGUACCUAAUCAGAAAGCCACGGCUAACUACGUG
rnacentral:rRNA from 1 species